rnacentral:lncRNA from 1 species
ACGUGUCUUUGGGCCCAUGACGGCCAGGGAACAGUCUGUGACAUAUCACCACCAUUGGACAAGUUUGCUCCCAGCCCAGCCUACAAACCCUAGUGUCUGAUAGGUAUCCAAAUAUUGGCAUCUUUCUUUUGUGCCUAUCCAUAGCCAAAAGCCCCCAUCAGUGAACUGAUCUUACCAGAGUAAAGAUCUGGCUGUUUUCUAAACCAGUGUGAUGCCUCAGGUGCAGAAGAGAGAGACAAUAAUUAACAAUGUGGCCUACAGCAUCUUGGGGAACAAUUAAUUUUAGUGAAUGGACAGGGGGAGGAAGAGAGAAGCUGUCAGGAAGGAGUUCCUAUAGGAUCUCCUCUGACGUGUCUAGCUGGCAAAUAGCCAUAUCCAACUGCAGGACCCAUGUGCCAUGUGAGUACAGCUGGAGAGAUGGGGAUGUGCUGCUGAGCUUUUGGACUGUCUGUGUAAUCUCCAGGUAGGAAUCCAGCAGAAAUGCUGAGGGAGGAACACCACCACACUUGACUUCUUUACUUCUUUUUCACAUCCCUCUGUCCCUUCCUCUUCACACACUGGUACCCAUGCUAAAUGAAGAGACUAUUUGAAGCAGCAGAAGAAACUUGCUAUGUUGUUUCUGAGAGUGAGAUAUCACAGAUGUGACUGCUUGGUUCUGUGUGAAGCAUGGGAAAAUGAGGUAUUUCAAGACUGGUUCAUCUGAAAAGUGCAUGGUCAUAUUUGGAAAAUGGCUGUGCUAGUAACAGGCAUCUGAAACCUUAAUUAUGAGCCCAAAUAAGGUGGUUUAUAAACCUUUGACUUUAUUCUAGAAUUUUGUAAUAUCACAAGUAUGUUUGCAGUAGAGAGGAAACAACAUGCCCCACUGGAAAGCUAGCAGUGCAUUUAUCCCUUCAGGGAACAAACUCAUUUGCCCUUUCCCUUUUAUGUCUGCUUAUUCAAACAAUUAAAUAAACUUUAAAAAAUAAAAGCA